ACGCACGCUGGCGGCAUGCCUAACACAUGCAAGUCGCACGAGACCUUCGGGUCUAGUGGCGCACGGGUGCGUAACGCGUGGGAGUCUGCCCUUGGGUUCGGAAUAACAGUUGGAAACGACUGCUAAUACCGGAUGAUGACGUAAGUCCAAAGAUUUAUCGCCCAAGGAUGAGCCCGCGUAGGAUUAGCUAGUUGGUGAGGUAAAGGCUCACCAAGGCGACGAUCCUUAGCUGGUCUGAGAGGAUGAUCAGCCACACUGGGACUGAGACACGGCCCAGACUCCUACGGGAGGCAGCAGUGGGGAAUAUUGGACAAUGGGCGAAAGCCUGAUCCAGCAAUGCCGCGUGAGUGAUGAAGGCCUUAGGGUUGUAAAGCUCUUUUACCCGGGAUGAUAAUGACAGUACCGGGAGAAUAAGCUCCGGCUAACUCCGUG
rnacentral:rRNA from 1 species